ACCGGCGCACGGGUGCGUAACGCGUAUAGAAUCUGCCUCGUACAGGGGGAUAGCCCAGAGAAAUUUGGAUUAAUACCCCAUAAUGUUAUUUUGUGGCAUCACAGAAUAAUUAAAGAUUUAUCGGUAUAAGAUGGGCAUGCGUGGCAUUAGAUAGUUGGUGAGGUAACGGCUCACCAAGUCAGCGAUGCCUAGGGGGUCUGAGAGGAUGGUCCCCCACACUGGUACUGAGACACGGACCAGACUCCUACGGGAGGCAGCAGUGAGGAAUAUUGGGCAAUGGACGCAAGUCUGACCCAGCCAUGCCGCGUGCAGGAUGACGGCCCUAUGGGUUGUAAACUGCUUUUUUACGGGAAGAAUAGGCACUACGUGUAGUGAUUUGACGGUACCGUACGAAUAAGCACCGGCUAACUCCGUGCCAGCAGCCGCGGUAAUACGGAGGGUGCAGGCGUUAUCCGGAUUUAUUGGGUUAAAGGGUCCGUAGGUGGACUAAUAAGUCAGUGGUGAAAUCCUACAGCUUAACUGUAGAACUGCCAUUGAUACUGUUAGUCUUGAGUGAAGUUGAAGUAGCUGGAAUGUGUAGUGUAGCGGUGAAAUGCAUAGAUAUUACACAGAACACCAAUUGCGAAGGCAGGUUACUAAACUUCUACUGACACUGAUGGACGAAAGCGUGGGGAGCGAACAGGAUUAGAUACCCUGGUAGUCCACGCCGUAAACGAUGAUCACUCGCUGUCGGGGUUUUUUACUUCGGUGGCUAAGCGAAAGUUAUCAGUGAUCCACCUGGGGAGUACGUUCGCAAGGAUGAAACUCAAAGGAAUUGACGGGGGCCCGCACAAGCGGUGGAGCAUGUGGUUUAAUUCGAUGAUACGCGAGGAACCUUACCAAGGCUUAAAUGUAGAGUGACAGGACUAGAGAUAGUUUUUUCUUCGGACACUUUACAAGGUGCUGCAUGGUUGUCGUCAGCUCGUGCCGUGAGGUGUUAGGUUAAUUCCUGCAACGAGCGCAACCCCUAACAUUAGGCCAGCGUCUAAAGACGGGGACUCUAAUGAGACUGCCCGCGCAAGCGGUGAGGAAGGUGGGGACGACGUCAAAUCAUCACGGCCCUUACGUCUUGGGCUACACACGUGCUACAAUGGUAGGUACAGAGGGCAGCUACCUGGCGACAGGAUGCGAAUCUCAAAAACCUAUCUCAGUUCGGAUUGGAGUCUGCAACUCGACUCUAUGAAGCUGGAAUCGCUAGUAAUCGCAUAUCAGCCAUGAUGCGGUGAAUACGUUCCCGGGCCUUGUACACACCGCCCGUCAAGCCAUGGAAGCUGGGAGUACCUGAAGUUGGUGACCGUAAAAGGAGCUACCUAGGGUAAAACUGGUAACUAGGGCUAAGUCGUAACAAGGUAACC
rnacentral:rRNA from 1 species